GUGCUUGCUUUGGCAGCACAUAUACUAAAAUUGGAAUAAUACAGAUAAGAUGAGUAUGGCCCCUGUACAAGGAUGACAUGCAAAUUCAUGAAGUUUUCCAUUAAAAG
rnacentral:snRNA from 1 species